UCAGCUGCUCUUGUGACCACUGUCCUGGCUGGUACAUGUUCCAGUUCCACCGGAUCCUGCAGUAUGCGCGGCCUCGCCAAGAGAGUCAGCGACCUUUCUUCUGGCUAUUUAUGGACCAUCUGCUGCUGACUGAGGACGACCAAGUGACAACUGCCCGUUUCCUUCAGACAGAGGCUGUGACCCUCCAGGAUAUCCGUGGCAGAGUUCUCCAGAAUGCUGUGAGGGUGUGGAGCAACAUUCCAGGGCUGAAGAGCAAGCACACGGUCCUGACCCCGAAGGAAGAAGAGCCUCUGCAAUGCCAAGGCAGAACCAGAAGCAAGAUGGCUGCCCAGAAACUUGACUCCCUGGUGAAGCACUGUCUUAUCCCCCUGAGAGAGUACUUCAAGUAUUUUUCUCAGAGCUCACUUCCUCUUUAGAAAUGAGUCACCCCACGAUGAAAGUCUUUCCUAGAACCAUGGCAGUCCUUCUUCCUAUGGCAUUUUCCCUCUGCAGAGCUUUCUCUGGUUGGCUUGCCGGCCUUUGGGGUUCUCUCUCCUGUUUUGAGUCCCCAGGAUGCAGAUGCCCCUGUGCAGCUCACUGUGGGGAGUGGGAGGUACCCAUGGCUGUGGACAUCCUGAUGGGAUAACCUGCCAUGCUUCUCUGAAACUGUGUGUACCUGUUGUGAAGUUUUUCAAAUAUAUCAUAGGAUUGUUAAAAAAAAAAAAGAUUAUUGUAUAUGAACCCAUAUUUUCUUAGUUGGCAUUUAGAAU